UUUGUUUGUAACCGAAUUUAAAUAAGGAAAUAGAAAAAUAAUUGAAUAUUACAGAAAAGAGCUUUAAAGGCAUUGAAAUAUUACUCAAAUUUUAUGUUGCUGGAUUUACAUUUCAUAACAAUUUUAUUUAUUUAUAUCUUCGUUGGGCAAACUAAAAGCUAUACAAAACUGUUUUAUAUAAGUUUAGAGUCAAGGAUUCCCCUUAAAUAUGAUGAAGCCGAUUAUAAUAUAAGGAGGUUUAUAUGUAAUAUUUAAAAACGAAAUUGAUUUUUAAAAAGCUCGCGAAAAAAUCCCCGAAAAUAUCGCUAAAAGCAUAAAUAAAUAAAAUAUAAAUGAGGAAAAAGAGGCAACCGCAAGCGGAGCAGCUGCUUCAAGGUAAACCGGAGUCAAAGUUCACAAGCAAGAUAUUAUAUUGAAUUAUGUUUCAGGAGGCAUAAUGAAAAAUAAAAUAAAAUCACAAAAAUUAAA